rnacentral:rRNA from 1 species
AGGACGAACGCUGGCGGCGUGCUUAACACAUGCAAGUCGAGCGGAAAGGCUCCUUCGGGGGUACUCGAGCGGCGAACGGGUGAGUAACACGUGAGUAAUCUGCCCUCCACUUUGGGAUAACUGCCUGAAAGGGUGGCUAAUACCGGGUAUUCUCCUUGCACCGCAUGGUGUGGGGUGGGAAGUUUUUUCGGUGGGGGAUGUGCUCGCGGCCUAUCAGCUUGUUGGUGAGGUAACGGCUCACCAAGGCGACGACGCGUAGCCGGGCUGAGAGGUCGGCCGGCCACAUUGGGACUGAGACACUGCCCAGACUCCUACGGGGGGCUGCAGUAACGAAUCUUCCGCAAUGCACGCAAGUGUGACGGAGCGACGCCGCGUGGAGGACGAAGUUCUUCGGAAUGUAAACUCCUGUCAGGGGCAGCCAAGUUCUGACGGCGCCCAGAGGAGGCACGGCUAACUCUGCGCCAGCAGCCGCGGUA